UUUUGAUGAUAUUCUAAUUAUAUGACCAGCACCUGUAAACAAACGUUCGCCUUCUAAAUGCCUCCGCCAAAACCGCAUUUCUGUAUUCUCCAAAAAGCUUACGCUGUAUGUCCUACGCCUUCCCUAUUCAACUUACGGAACGAACGCAGCGCCAGUUACAUUUUUUCCGUAAGUUGAGUUCAGGCAUUGCCAAAAGGGGGCAUCUGAUUUGUGCCCCCUCAGUUUCAAUUUAUCCUCCCUUCAUCCCCGAAACGCAAUCGAUUUUAAUGCUUUGACGCAUACGGUUACACAGCGGUGCUGGCGCUGAGCCAGAGAAAGACUCGCUCAGAGCUUUUUAUAUUUCACUAACUAUUCAGUGUUUUCAACCCCAUAAUGUUUAUUUGAGGUUUCAGACAUUUAAAUAGACAUUUAAAUGAAUUACUAGGCUAUAUAUAAAAAAGACACUUACAGUUUGUUGAAUGCAAAUUCUAUACACUGAUAUGGAAGCUGCAAUAAUCCUUACAAUUAUAAUUUGACAGUGUUUUAUUCAUAUCAGAUACAAUGUCUACAAUGUAUUUUGUCUGCGCUAUAAUAAACAAAAAAAGAGGCAUUUUAUGAUUUUGAUCAGUUUUAUUCUUUCAGGAGACACAACUCUAUUACAAUCUACACUGUAAAAAGUGAUUCGUUGGCUCAACAUUUAUUACUUAUCAAGAUAAAUAGAAUAAACUCAAAAAUAUAAAUAUUCAUAACAUUUCAAGCUCUACAUAACAUUUUUUAGUGUAUGCAACACAAAAACGUAAAUUAAAAGGUGAACAUAAGUGUAUUGUAAAGUAAAUGAAAAAACGUAAGUAACAUCAACUAGCAUUAAAACUUGGUUAAAAUUAAGUAAACCUAACAUAAAAUUUUACGUAUUUGUGAGCUGCAUGAUAUGCAAAUGGGUCAUUAUACGAAAACGUGCCAUUUUGUGUCCCUCAGAAAAAAAAAAAAAAGCUCUGUAAAUCUUAAUAAACCAUAAAACAAAUAAAAUAUUUUAUAAUUUAGUUUCCAUAAUAUGUCUCAUAAUAUAAGAAUAAAUUAAUUUCUGUUUCUUUUGUUUUUAAAGGAUUUUAAUCACAUUUUUGUGCAAAGCAUCUUGCAGAAAUGUUGAAAAUGGCCUGUCCCUCAGUAUGAUUUUUCUACUUCUACUUGCUAUCGAGGCCAAAAAAGUCAAACUAUCAUAAAAAAACAUAUACUUGUAUAAAGCCUUAAGUGUCAGUUCAUUAGUCAUGAAUGGAUUUUAUUCUUAACAUGUGUCAAAUUUAGAAAAAAAAACAAAAUUUAGUCGGGUCCCUAGGUUCUCGUCAACCCUGUUACUUUUUAUGAAAAACCUCUUUAAAGAUAAUGGACUGUUCCAAAAGUUGCAUCAGUUCCAGGAAGUGACAUCAUCUGCCUUUCAUGAAGUUGAUGGUAGAAGACAAGUAAGUAUUCUCUUCUUUUUAAUGAAUUUUCUUUGAGUUUAUGUAAUGUCUGAAAGACAGGGACACGCUCAUUGUGUCAGCCCUGUUACCAGAAAAGCAUACGUUAAAAAGUUAUUUGUACAUAUUUAAAAAUGUACAUAUAUAACAACAUUUAAGCCUCUCAUUAAGGCACGUAAUGUGGUGUCAUUACCUAUACCUCAUGGCUAGUAAUGGCCGCCAAUAACCUUUUUCGUCAACCCUGUUACUGUCAACCCUGUUACCAUUCCAGGGUAACAGGGUUGACGCAAGUAUGCUUUUGUGUGUCUUACCCAUGUUGUAUACCCAAGAAGGGUUAAAUCAAGGGCAACUGGACUUGGUACUUCCAUAUUUGAAGAUAUUGCCUCUAAUCCAAGGGGUUUCUUCAGUUCUAAAUGACUGAUGGGGAGUGCCAGGUAUUUAACCUCUGUGGGGUUGUCACCCCUGAGCCAACCCUUCUUGGAUAACUAUGACCUGGAUGACUGAGAAUUUUAACAGACAUACUUUUCUUACUAAUAGUAUUUACAUAAUAUACAUGUUUUUACAGUUUUCAUCCCUAAAAAUCAUGUUUUUUAUUUAUUCUACUGAUAGGUAGGCUAAAAUGUGUUGAGGUUACUGAUCUAUACUGAUACACACAAGUGCAUUGGGUUUUAUAAAUGUGCUUUAUAAACCAAAAGUCAUUAUUAUUUUUAUUAUGAGGUCAAUAAAUUAACAAGGUUGCUGUUUAAGUGUUUUAUGUAUUUUUAUUUGAUUUGAUUUUGUUAGGAUGCCUCUUUCUGCAGCUUAGAAACAGCGCAGAUACAGACAACGUAGAGAUGCUGAUCCUGAGAGACGAGAAGCAUAUUUACGAAAAGAGAGAGCAAAAUGGAGAAAGGACAGAAGCACAGGGGAAAAAGCAGUCAGUUAGUGAACUAAAUGACAGAGAAAGGAGAGCCAAGCGGCAGAACUGGAGAGCAGCACAAGUGAAAAGCAGAACAGCCAAAGCAGCAAGUGCAGCAAUCAUAGAUCAGUGCAUGACGCCACCUCUAAGUCCAGAACAUCCGGUCAAAACUUGUUGGGUAGGCAGACAGGAAUGUUACAUUAAGUGAUCAUUAGUGAUCAUUGUCUUUUGUUUAUUCUGUUAAAGCCAAACAUGUUCAACAGUUAGCUUUUCCUUUACCGAGUCCUUUUGCUCCGGUCCUGAGCGCCAGUACUUAAAACGUUGUUGUGGACGUAGUUGAGGACUAACGACUGUCUGCUGCGCGGGAAUGGUUAACAAAAGAAAUCGCUGCAUCACCAUUCACCUUCAGGAUAGAAUCAGGAAAUGGCCACUCUGAAAUGUUGAUAUGUGUCUAAUCUUUAAACCCAAUUUCUCUAGACAUAAGAUUUUUCACCAGUUUACUUCCUCCAUGUUACAACACACUCACCAAAUGCCUACAUAAUCAUUAUAUGAUGAUCUGCAUUUUGUUUUUUAUACUUUUUUAUAGUGGCCUUUAGUAAGUGAUCGUUAGUGGUUUUUGCUUAUUCUGUUAAGGCCAAACAUGUUCAAUUGGUCAUUUAAUUGCAAUGUAAUGUUAAUGUUUUAAUAAAACAAUUGGUUUACAUUUACAUCCGCAGAAUCAUCAUCAUUUUUCAUCAUUUUUAUGCUAAAAUAUCUCAAUAGAGCUUUCUACAAAAUAUGCUGAUUAGUCAUGUUGAAUUAAAGGUUUAUGAAUGUCCAAUUAAGACUCCAUUACAACCAUAACUGUAACUCAAACAAGCGGUAUAACCAAUACGGUAACUGUUGUCAACCCUGUUACUGAUGUGUCAACCCUGUUACUUGUAUAAUAUUCUAAUAUCAUUUAAAAAAUGAAAAUAAAAAUGUAAUCAACUAAUUGUAAAUGUUUAGUAAGAGAGGCUAAUAAUCCACUCAAAAUUGAAUUGAGGUGUUUUAUAUUUAUUUCCAUACAUUUUUCUUAAAACAGAAGAUGCUGGGAGAGUGUCAUUUGGAAAUGAACGUAUUCAUCCACUAAAAAAAAUAAAACUUUCAAUAUUCUCAAUUCACAAACACUCUUAAUGUAACAAGGGGGGGGGGGUUAUCUUUCACAGUAUAUCAGAUUUGUUCUAUAUAUGUAUUUAAAACCUUUUCAAAAAGUAAUUAAUAUGUCGGUAACAGGGUUGACCAAACACACACAUUUACGUUGGUUAUAUGAAAAAAAUAAAUAAAUAAAUAAGAUAGCCUGAGAUGGCACGGCACAUUUUCCUGAGAGGUAAGGAUCUACUUCAUCCAAAAAGGGGCUUAAAGAUUUUCAAAACAGUACUUUGAAAGUCAAACAUUAAAAGUGGGAAAUGGCACGUUUUCGUAUAAUGACCCAAAUAUUCUAUCCAGCCAAUGAGUGAAGCUGGAGCCAUUUUGAAGCGUGAUGUGGUGAAGACAGCGAGUACUCUGUCAGUGGGGUGUAUUCCUUAACCAGAAGCGCAACACAACAUUUUCUGAAGUUCGAUGUGGUGAAGACAGAGAUAAGAGUGGGGUGUAUUUGUAAACUGGAAGCACAAAGCAACGUUUUCUGAAGCGCAAUGUGGUGACGAUGGUGAAAGGAGUGCGAACAUUUGUGGUGCAACAAUAGAAGGAUAUGGUGCAUCCUGUUUUUGGAGGAUAGCCAUGGUGACCUAAAGGAACUGGAACAGCACACACACUGAGGAUUAUCACAAAGGUGGCUUCAUGGACGAUCCUUUAGAGACUGUAACUUUCUUUUGGUCAAAUUGUCACUUUUUUCAGAAGUACUACAGUCAUGAUUUUUGGUUUUAGACUAUUUAAGUUGCUGUUUCCAGAGUAGUAUUGCAAUCUCUGCCAGAAAACCUAAAAUGCUUUAUUUUUGUACUGAUUUUACUAAUUGUACUAAUUGUGUGAAAACCUUUUGUUGAAAUGCUGUCCAAAAAUGAAGUAAAAUGCUGUUUUGUGUUUAUUGUAUGUUUUGCACUUAUUUUAAGACAUUCAAUGUUCUAGAGCAGUACAGUAAGUUUUAUUCAAUAGCUCAAGGUUAAAAUUAAUUAAAAUUUUAAGUUUGUUCAACUCAA